CGCCUCCUACGGGACGCAGCAGUAGGGAAUUUUCGUCAAUGGGCGCAAGCCUGAACGAGCAAUGCCGCGUGAACGAGGAAGGUCUUCGGAUCGUAAAGCUCUGUUGAAGGGGAAAAAGAGCGGAGAGAGGAAAUGAACUCCGAUUGAUAUUACCCUUCGAGGAAGUCACGGCUAACUACGUGCCGGCAGCCGCGGUAAUACGUAGGUGGCGAGCGUUAUCCGGAAUGAUUGGGCGUAAAGGGUGCGUAGGCGGCCUGCGAAGUCUG
rnacentral:rRNA from 1 species